rnacentral:rRNA from 1 species
GGCGAUGAUGCAUAGCCGAGUUGAGAGACUGAUCGGCCACAUUGGGACUGAGACACGGCCCAAAAACUCCUACGGGAGGCAGCAGUAGGGAAAUCUUCCACAAUGGACGCAAGUCUGAUGGAGCAACGCCGCGUGAGUGAAGAAGGGUUUCGGCUCGUAAAGCUCUGUUGUUGGUGAAGAAGGACAGGGGUAGUAACUGACCUUUGUUUGACGGUAAUCAAUUAGAAAGUCACGGCUAACUACGUGCCAGCAGCCGCGGGUAAU